CCUACGGGAGGCUGCAGUGAGGAAUAUUGGUCAAUGGUCGGGAGACUGAACCAGCCAAGCCGCGUGAGGGAUGAAGGUACAGAGUAUCGUAAACCUCUUUUGUCAGGGAACAAAGGCGGGGACGUGUCCCCGGAUGAGUGUACCUGAAGAAAAAGCAUCGGCUAACUCCGUGCCAGCAGCCGCGGUAAUACGGAGGAUGCGAGCGUUAUCCGGAUUUGUUGGGGUUAAGGGGUUCGCAGGCGGUCUGUUAAGUCAGCGGUCAAAGCCCGGGGCUCAACCCCGGCCCGCCGUUGAAACUGGCAGUCUCGAGUUGGAGAGAAGUAUGCGGAAUGCGCGGUGUAGCGGUGAAAUGCAUAGAUAUCGCGCAGAACUCCGAUUGCGAAGGCAGCAUGCCGGCUCCACACUGACGCUGAGGCACGAAAGCGUGGGUAUCGAACAGGAUUAGAUACCCUGGUAGUC
rnacentral:rRNA from 1 species